rnacentral:rRNA from 1 species
CCCUUAGAUGUUCUGGGCUGCACGCGCGCUACACUGAAGCUAUCAACACGUUUUCCCUCCCUGAGAAGGGCGGGUAACCUUUUGAAUCAGCUUCGUGGUAGGGAUCGGGGCUUGCAAUUGUUCCCCGUGAACCAGGAAUUCCUAGUAGACGCGAGUCAUAAGCUCGCAUCGAUUAAAUCCCUGCCCUUUGUACACACCGCCCGUCGCUACUACCGAUUGAACGUUUUAGUGAGGCAUUUGGACCGACGCAUCUCAGUUUAACCGCUGGUUUGUGUUGGAAAGACUUCCAAACUUGAGCGUUUAGAGGAAGUAAAAGUCGUAACA